rnacentral:rRNA from 1 species
UACGGAGGGGGCUAGCGUUGUUCGGAAUUACUGGGCGUAAAGCGCGCGUAGGCGGACCUGCAAGUCGGGGGUGAAAGCCCGAGGCUCAACCUCGGAACUGCCUUCGAUACUGCGGGUCUCGAGUCCGGGAGAGGUGAGUGGAAUUCCUAGUGUAGAGGUGAAAUUCGUAGAUAUUAGGAAGAACACCAGUGGCGAAGGCGGCUCACUGGCCCGGUACUGACGCUGAGGCGCGAAAGGCGUGGGAGCAAACAGG